CACAGCUUUGUAUGUGCAGUCUUGAACCCCACAAAGUCACCCAAGAGGGUUGGAAUCAGCUUCUACCAAACUCCUGCAAAUGCUGAUAUUUUGAUCUCUUCCCGUGAAUCACAAAUGUUCUUAAUGACCUCUAGAAUAGUGACUCCUUUCCAGAAGGUUAAUUUACUUUGUCCAGAUCCAUCAGAGGAAUCACUAUCUAUGGCAGG